rnacentral:rRNA from 1 species
UGGGGAAUCUUGCGCAAUGGGCGAAAGCCUGACGCAGCGACGCCGCGUGGGGGAUGAAGGCCCUCGGGUUGUAAACCCCUUUCGGCAGGGACGAAGCGAAAGUGACGGUACCUGCAGAAGAAGCCCCGGCUAACUACGUGCCAGCAGCCGCGGUAAGACGUAGGGGGCGAGCGUUGUCCGGAUUUAUUGGGCGUAAAGCGCGCGCAGGCGGCCGGCCAAGUCGGAUGUGAAAACCAGGGGCUCAACCCCUGGCCUGCAUCCGAUACUGGUCGGCUCGAGGUAGGUAGGGGAGAUCGGAAUUCCUGGUGUAGCGGUGAAAUGCGCAGAUAUCAGGAGGAACACCGGUGGCGAAGGCGGAUCUCUGGGCCUUACCUGACGCUCAGGCGCGAAAGCUAGGGGAGCGAACAGG